CGCGAGAUAGAGCAGUCUGGUAGCUCGCAAGGCUCAUAAUCUUGAGGUCGCAGGUUCGAAUCCUGCUCUCGCAA
rnacentral:tRNA from 1 species